rnacentral:rRNA from 1 species
GGUCAAGCGAACAAGUACAUGUGGUGGAUGCCUUGGCGAUCACAGGCGAUGAAGAACGCGAUGCGGUAGCUUGCGAAAAGCGAUGGGGAGCUGGCAAACGAACUUUGAUCCGUGUCGAUGUCCGAAUGGGGAAGCCCGCCGGCCCUCUUCUGGGUCGUCCUGAGCUGAAUACAUAGGCUCAGUGAAGCGGACGCGGUGAACUAAAACAUCUAAGUAACCGCAGGAAUAAAGAAAUCAACCGAGAUUCCUAAAGUAGUGGCGAGCGAAAUGGGAUCAGCCUGAACUCUUCAGCACGGUCGUUAGCCCAACACUUUGGACAUAGCAGGUGAUAGCCUUGUAGGCGAAAGCGAAUGUGUGGAACUUAUACAGGGCGGGACACGUGGAAUCUUGUCUGAAGAUGGGGGCCAUCCUCCAAGGUUAAAUACUCGUGAUCGACCGAUAGUGAACCAGUACCGUGAGGGGAAGGCGAAAAGAACCUCGGGAGGGGAGUGAAAUAAAUCCUGAAACUGCAUGCAUAAAAACAGUCGGAGCCUUUGCGAAGGGGUGGCGAUGUACCUUUUGUAUAAUGAGUCAGCCACUUACGUUCAGUAGCAAGCUGAACUGAUUAAGACAGGCGUAGCGAAAGCGAGUCCGAAUAGGGCGUUCAGUUGCUGGGCGUAGACCCGAAACCCAGUGAUCUAUCCAUAGCCAGGUUGAAGGUGCGGUAACACGUACUGGAGGACGAACCCACUAAUGUUGAAAAAUUAGGAGAUGAGCUGUGGAUGGGGUGAAAGGCUAAACAAACUUGGAAAUAGCUGGUUCUUUCCGAAAACUAUUUAGGUAGUGCCUCGUGUAUCAUCGGAGGUAGAGCGCUGUCAUGGUUGUGGGGUCCAUUGCGGGUUACUACGCCAUAGCAGAUUCCGAAUACCGAAGAGUGCAAUCACGGGGGACAGACAUAGGGUGCUAACGUCCGGUGUCAAGAGGGAAACAACCCAGACCGCCAGCUAAGGUCCCCAAAUAUUGCUAAGCGGGAAGGCUAAAACAGUCAAGAGGUUGGCUUAGAAGCAGCCGUCUUUUAAAGAAAGCGUAAUAGCUCACUGGUCGAGUCGUCUCGCACGGAAGAUGUAACGGGGCUAAGUAAUAUACCGAAGCUGCGGAUGCGAGAUUUAUCUCGCAUAGUAGGAGAGCGUUCCGUAAGUUUGUGAAGGCGCAUUGAAAAGUGUGUUGGAGGUAUCGGAAGUGCGAAUGCUGACAUGAGUAAUCGGCAUAGGGGACGACCGUAGUAGGCCGUACCCCUGCCACACCACCCGGCAUGCGGAUCCGCGCCGGGCGGCUCGAAAAGUUGAGGUUAUGAGUCGAGGCAAACCCAACUGAUCAAAGUAGGCGAUGGGCAACGCACUGUUGAGUAGUUUGCCGCUAUUGCGUCACCAGCGGCGGCUGUUUUCUGCCACCUGUCGCGCGAUCUCAGCAGACGUUCCCCAACACACGAAGUUUCCGGUAGAUGGCCGUACCACGGCGCCAAUGCUUGAGCUGAAUGGCCCGCAACCGGUGACGCAGCCAUUCGUCAGUGCUAACCAGACGCGCGGCGUUUGCGCCAAUCCGAAAUACGCCUUCCAGCCCAACAU